UUAGCAUGGAAUAAUAAAAUAGGACGUGUGGUUCUAUUUUGUUGGUUUCUAGGACCGCCGUAAUGAUUAAUAGGGACAGUCGGGGGCAUCAGUAUUCAAUUGUCAGAGGUGAAAUUCUUGGAUCUAUUGAAGACUAACUACUGCGAAAGCAUUUGCCAAGGAUGUUUUCAUUGAUAAGGAACGAAAGUUAGGGGAUCGAAGACGAUCAGAUACCGUCGUAGUCUUAACUAUAAACUAUGCCGACUAGGGAUCGGACGAUGUUAUCUUUUGACUCGUUCGGCACCUUUCGAGAAAUCAAAGUGCUUGGGCUCCAGGGGGAGUAUGGUCGCAAGGCUGAAACUUAAAGAAAUUGACGGAAGGGCACCACCAGGGGUGGAACCUGCGGCUUAAUUUGACUCAACACGGGGAAACUCACCAGGUCCAGACACAGUGAGGAUUGACAGAUUGAUAGCUCUUUCUUGAUUCUGUGGGUGGUGGUGCAUGGCCGUUCUUAGUUGGUGGAGUGAUUUGUCUGCUUAAUUGCGAUAACGAACGAGACCUUAACCUGCUAAAUAGCCCUUAUUGCUUCGGCAGUAUGCUGGCUUCUUAGAGGGACUAUCGGCUCAAGCCGAUGGAAGUUUGAGGCAAUAACAGGUCUGUGAUGCCCUUAGAUGUCCUGGGCCGCACGCGCGUUACACUGACAAAGCCAGCGAGUAUUUCCUUGGCCGGAAGGCCCGGGUAAUCUUGUUAAACUUUGUCGUGCUGGGGAUAGAGCAUUGCAAU
rnacentral:rRNA from 1 species